rnacentral:rRNA from 1 species
AUUGAACGCUGGCGGCAGGCCUAACACAUGCAAGUCGAACGGUAGCACAGAGAGCUUGCUCUCGGGUGACGAGUGGCGGACGGGUGAGUAAUGUCUGGGAAACUGCCCGAUGGAGGGGGAUAACUACUGGAAACGGUAGCUAAUACCGCAUAACGUCGCAACACCAAAGUGGGGGACCUUCGGGCCUCACACCAUCGGAUGUGCCCAGAUGGGAUUAGCUAGUAGGUGGGGUAAUGGCUCACCUAGGCGACGAUCCCUAGCUGGUCUGAGAGGAUGACCAGCCACACUGGAACUGAGGCACGGUCCAGACUCCUACGGGAGGCAGCAGUGGGGAAUAUUGCACAAUGGGCGCAAGCCUGAUGCAGCCAUGCCGCGUGUAUGAAGAAGGCCUUCGGGUUGUAAAGUACUUUCAGCGGGGAGGAAGGCGGUGAAGUUAAUAGCUUCACCGAUUGACGUUACCCGCAGAAGAAGCACCGGCUAACUCCGUGCCAGCCGCCGCCGUAA